GACGAACGCUGGCGGCGAUGCUUAACACAUGCAAGUCGAACGGAAAGGCCCUGCUUUUGUGGGGUGCUCGAGUGGCGAACGGGUGAGUAACACGUGAGUAACCUGCCCUUGACUUUGGGAUAACUUCAGGAAACUGGGGCUAAUACCGGAUAGGAGCUCCUGCUGCAUGGUGGGGGUUGGAAAGUUUCGGCGGUUGGGGAUGGACUCGCGGCUUAUCAGCUUGUUGGUGGGGUAGUGGCUUACCAAGGCUUUGACGGGUAGCCGGCCUGAGAGGGUGACCGGCCACAUUGGGACUGAGAUACGGCCCAGACUCCUACGGGAGGCAGCAGUGGGGAAUAUUGCACAAUGGGCGGAAGCCUGAUGCAACAACGCCGCGUGCGGGAUGACGGCCUUCGGGUUGUAAACCGCUUUCGCCUGUGACGAAGCGUGAGUGACGGUAAUGGGUAAAGAAGCACCGGCUAACUACGUGCCAGCAGCCGCGGUGAUACGUAGGGUGCGAGCGUUGUCCGGAUUUAUUGGGCGUAAAGGGCUCGUAGGUGGUUGAUCGCGUCGGAAGUGUAAUCUUGGGGCUUAACCCUGAGCGUGCUUUCGAUACGGGUUGACUUGAGGAAGGUAGGGGAGAAUGGAAUUCCUGGUGGAGCGGUGGAAUGCGCAGAUAUCAGGAGGAACACCAGUGGCGAAGGCGGUUCUCUGGGCCUUUCCUGACGCUGAGGAGCGAAAGCGUGGGGAGCGAACAGGCUUAGAUACCCUGGUAGUCCACGCUGUAAACGGUGGGUACUAGGUGUGGGGUCCAUUCCACGGGUUCCGUGCCGUAGCUAACGCUUUAAGUACCCCGCCUGGGGAGUACGGCCGCAAGGCUAAAACUCAAAGGAAUGGACGGGGCCCCGCACAAGCGGCGGAGCAUGCGGAUUAAUUCGAUGCAACGCGUAGAACCUUACCUGGGUUUGACAUGGAUCGGGAGUGCUCAGAGAUGGGUGUGCCUCUUUUGGGGUCGGUUCACAGGUGGUGCAUGCCUGUCGUCAGCUCGUGUCGUGAGAUGUUGGGUUAAGUCCCGCAACGAGCGCAACCCUUGUUCACUGUUGCCAGCACGUUAUGGUGGGGACUCAGUGGAGACCACCGGGGUCAACUCGGAGGAAGGUGGGGAUGACGUCAAGUCCUCAUGCCCCUUAUGUCCAGGGCUUCACGCAUGCUACAAUGGCUGGUACAGAGAGUGGCGAGCCUGUGAGGGUGAGCGAAUCUCGGAAAGCCGGUCUCAGUUCGGAUUGGGGUCUGCAACUCGACCUCAUGAAGUCGGAGUCGCUAGUAAUCGCCAGAUCAGCAACGCUGCGGUGAAUACGUUCCCGGG
rnacentral:rRNA from 1 species